rnacentral:rRNA from 1 species
AUUGAACGCUGGCGGCAUGCCUUACACAUGCAAGUCGAACGGCAGCGGGGACUUCGGUCCGCCGGCGAGUGGCGAACGGGUGAGUAAUGUAUCGGAACGUACCAUUGAGUGGGGGAUAACGUAGCGAACGUUACGCUAUUACCGCAUAUUCUCUCCGGAGGAAAGCAGGGGACCGCAAGGCCUUGCGCUCUUUGAGCGGCCGAUAUCCGAUUAGCUAGUUGGUGGGGUAAAAGCUCACCAAGGCGACGAUCUGUAGCGGGUCUUAGAGGAUGAUCCGCCACACUGGAACUGAGACACGGUCCAGACUCCUACGGGAGGCAGCAGUGGGGAAUUUUGGACAAUGGGGGCAACCCUGAUCCAGCCAUGCCGCGUGAGUGAAGAAGGCCUUCGGGUUGUAAAGCUCUUUCGGUUGAGAAGAAAUCGCACGGGCUAAUACUCUGUGCGGAUGACGGUAUCAACAUAAGAAGCACCGGCUAACUACGUGCCAGCAGCCGCCGUAA